GACGAACGCUGGCGGCAGGCCUAACACAUGCAAGUCGAACGAGUGGCGGACGGGUGAGUAAUGUCUGGGAACCUGCCUGAUGGAGGGGGAUAACUACUGGAACCGGUAGCUAAUACCGCAUACCAUCGGAUGUGCCCAGAUGGGAUUAGCUAGUCGGUGGGGUAACGGCUCACCUAGGCGACGAUCCCUAGCUGGGCUGAGAGGAUGACCGGCCACACUGGGACUGAGACACGGUCCAGACUCCUACGGGAGGCAGCAGUGGGGAAUCUUGCGCAAUGGGCGCAAGCCUGAUGCAGCCACGCCGCGUGUAUGAAGAAGGUCUUCGGGUUGUAAAGCACUUUCAUCGGGGAAGCGUUACCCACAGAAGAAGCACCGGCUAACUCCGUGCCAGCAGCCGCGGUAAUUC
rnacentral:rRNA from 1 species